rnacentral:rRNA from 1 species
GAUGAACGCUGGCGGCGUGCCUAAUACAUGCAAGUCGAGCGAAUGGAUUAAGAGCUUGCUCUUAUGAAGUUAGCGGCGGACGGGUGAGUAACACGUGGGAAACCUGCCCAUAAGACUGGGAUAACUCCGGGAAACCGGGGCUAAUACCGGAUAACAUUUUGAACCGCAUGGUUCGAAAUUGAAAGGCGGCUUCGGCUGUCACUUAUGGAUGGACCCGCGUCGCAUUAGCUAGUUGGUGGGGUAACGGCUCACCAAGGCAACGAUGCGUAGCCGACCUGAGAGGGUGAUCGGCCACACUGGGACUGAGACACGGCCCAGACUCCUACGGGAGGCAGCAGUAGGGAAUCUUCCGCAAUGGACGAAAGUCUGACGGAGCAACGCCGCGUGAGUGAUGAAGGCUUUCGGGUCGUAAAACUCUGUUGUUAGGGAAGAACAAGUGCUAGUUGAAUAAGCUGACACCUUGACGGUACCUAACCAGAAAGCCACGGCUAACUACGUGCCAGCCGCCGCCGUAA